GACGAACGCUGGCGGCGUGCUUAACACAUGCAAGUCGAACGGAAAGGCCCUGCUUUUGUGGGGUGCUCGAGUGGCGAACGGGUGAGUAACACGUGAGUAACCUGCCCUUGACUUUGGGUUAACUUAAGGAAACUGGGGCUAAUACGGGAUAGGAGCUCCUGCUGUUGGGUGGGGGUUGGAAGGUUUCGGCGGUUGGGGAUGGACUCGCGGCUUAUCAGCUUGUUGGUGGGGUAGUGGCUUACCAAGGCUUUGACGGGUAGCCGGCCUGAGAGGGUGACCGGCCACAUUGGGACUGAGAUACGGCCCAGACUCCUACGGGAGGCAGCAGUGGGGAAUAUUGCACAAUGGGCGGAAGCCUGAUGCAGCAACGCCGCGUGCGGGAUGACGGCCUUCGGGUUGUAAACCGCUUUCGCCUGUGACGAAGCGUGAGUGACGGUAAUGGGUAAAGAAGCACCGGCUAACUACGUG
rnacentral:rRNA from 1 species